GACGAACGCUGGCGGCGUGCCUAAUACAUGCAAGUCGAGCGGAUUUUUGGGAGCUUGCUCCCGAAAAUUAGCGGCGGACGGGUGAGUAACACGUGGGCAACCUGCCUAUAAGACUGGGAUAACUUCGGGAAACCGGAGCUAAUACCGGAUAAUUCCUUUCCUCUCCUGAGGGAAGGCUGAAAGACGGUUUACGCUGUCACUUAUAGAUGGGCCCGCGGCGCAUUAGCUAGUGGGUGAGGUAACGGCUCACCAAGGCGACGAUGCGUAGCCGACCUGAGAGGGUGAUCGGCCACACUGGGACUGAGACACGGCCCAGACUCCUACGGGAGGCAGCAGUAGGGAAUCUUCCGCAAUGGACGAAAGUCUGACGGAGCAACGCCGCGUGAGUGAUGAAGGUUUUCGGAUCGUAAAACUCUGUUGUUAGGGAAGAACAAGUACGAGAGUAACUGCUCGUACCUUGACGGUACCUAACCAGAAAGCCACGGCUAACUACGUGCCAGCAGCCGCGGUAACAC
rnacentral:rRNA from 1 species